GGGGGAGUGCCGCAUCCUGGGCCGUGGCCCCAGCGCCCAGGCUGUGGGGCCUGCACUGCUGGAAUCACGCUCCUGGGACUGCAAACACCC
rnacentral:pre_miRNA from 1 species